CUCAAAGACAUAAACGCA
rnacentral:snRNA from 1 species